rnacentral:rRNA from 1 species
CCUACGGGAGGCAGCAGUGAGGAAUAUUGGUCAAUGGACGCAAGCCUGAACCAGCCAUGCCGCGUGCAGGAUGACGGCUCUAUGAGUUGUAAACUGCUUUUGUACGAGGGUAAACGCUGAUACGUGUAGCAUUCUGAAAGUAUCUUAUGAAUAAGGCUCGGCUAACUCCGUGCCAGCAGCCGCGGUAAUACGGAGUAUCCGAGCGUUAUCCGGAUUUGUUGGGUUUUAAGGGUGCGUAGGUGGUCGGAUAUGUUAGAGGUGUAAUCCCGAGGCUCAACAUUGGAAGUGUCUCUGAUACUGUUCGGCUAGAGAGUGGUUGCGGUAGGCGGAAUGUAUGGUGUAGCGGUGAAAUGCGUAGAGAUCAUACAGAACACCGAUUGCGAAGGCAGCUUACCAAGCUACUUCUGACGUUGAGGCACGAAAGCGUAGGGAGCAAACAGGAUUAGAUACCCCUGUAGUC